GGGCCCGCACAAGCGGUGGAGUAUGUGGUUUAAUUCGAUGCAACGCGAAGAACCUUACCAGGGUUUGACAUCCUGCGAAUCUCUUGGAAACAGGAGAGUGCCUUCGGGAACGCAGUGACAGGUGGUGCAUGGCUGUCGUCAGCUCGUGUCGUGAGAUGUUGGGUUAAGUCCCGCAACGAGCCGCAACCCACGUCUUUAGUUGCCAGCAGUUUAGUUGGGCACUCUAGAGAGACUGCCGGUGAUAAACCGGGAGGAAGGUGUGGAUGACGUCAAGUCAUCAUGCCCCUUACAUCCUGGGCUACACACGUACUACAAUGCUACGGACAAAGGGCAGCAAGUUCGCGAGGACAAGCAAAUCCCAUAAACCGUGGCUCAGUUCAGAUCGUAGGCUGCAACUCGCCUACGUGAAGGCGGAAUCGCUAGUAAUCGCGGAU
rnacentral:rRNA from 1 species